rnacentral:rRNA from 1 species
GAUGAACGCUGGCGGCGUGCUUAACACAUGCAAGUCGAGCGAGAAGUUUUGAAAAGAUUCUUCGGAUGAAAUUUAAAAUGGAAAGCGGCGGACGGGUGAGUAACGCGUAGGCAACCUGCCCCAUACAAAGGGAUAGCAUUUGGAAACGAAUAUUAAUACCUUAUGAAACUUAACUAGUGCAUGCUAGGUAGGUCAAAGAUUUAUCGGUAUGGGAUGGGCCUGCGUCUGAUUAGCUAGUUGGUGAGGUAACGGCUCACCAAGGCGACGAUCAGUAGCCGACCUGAGAGGGUGAACGGCCACAUUGGAACUGAGACACGGUCCAAACUCCUACGGGAGGCAGCAGUGGGGAAUAUUGCACAAUGGGGGAAACCCUGAUGCAGCAACGCCGCGUGAACGAUGAAGGCCUUUGGGUCGUAAAGUUCUGUUCUAGGAGAUGAAAACUGACAGUAACCUAGGAGAAAGCCCCGGCUAACUCCGUG